rnacentral:rRNA from 1 species
UACGAAGGGGGCUAGCGUUGCUCGGAAUUACUGGGCGUAAAGGGCGUGCAGGCGGUUUGUUAAGUGCAGGGUGAAAGCUCCCGGCUCAACUGGGAGAGGUCAUUCAAUACUACCGUGCUUGAGAGCAGAAGAGGAAGAUGGAAUUCCCGGUGUAGUGGUGAAAUGCGUAGAUAUCGGGAGGAACACCAGUGGCGAAGGCGAUCUUCUGGUCUGUUUCUGACACUCAUACGCGACAGCUAGGGUAGUAAACGGG